AUGUAACUUAGUGGUAAGAGUGCUUGCCUGGCAUGUAUGAAGCCCUGAGUUUGAUCUCUGCAU
rnacentral:tRNA from 1 species